rnacentral:rRNA from 1 species
UAGGGAAUCUUCCGCAAUGGGCGAAAGCUUGACGGAGCAACGCCGCGUGAGUGAUGAAGGUCUUCGGAUCGUAAAACUCUGUUAUUAGGGAAGAACAAAUGUGUAAGUAACUAUGCACGUCUUGACGGUACCUAAUCAGAAAGCCACGGCUAACUACGUGCCAGCAGCCGCGGUAAUACGUAGGUGGCAAGCGUUAUCCGGAAUUAUUGGGCGUAAAGCGCGCGUAGGCGGUUUUUUAAGUCUGAUGUGAAAGCCCACGGCUCAACCGUGGAGGGUCAUUGGAAACUGGAAAACUUGAGUGCAGAAGAGGAAAGUGGAAUUCCAUGUGUAGCGGUGAAAUGCGCGGAGAUAUGGAGGAACACCAGUGGCGAAGGCGACUUUCAGGUCUGUAACUGACGCUGAUGUGCGAAAGCGUGGGGAUCAAACAGG